UAUAAGCAUGGGGCAUAUGUAUACUAAAAAUUGUCUCCCGAUUAUCUGAAAUUCAAAUUUACUAGGUGUCCUGUGGCUCAACUGGUAAAGAAUCCACCUGCAAUGCAGGAGACCUGGGUUCAAUCCCUGGGUUGAGAAGAUCCCCUGCAGAAGGGAAAGGCUACCCACUCCAGUAUUCUGGCUUGGAGAAUCCCAUUGUACUGUAUAGUCCAUGAGGUCUCAAAGAGUUGGACACGACUUAGUGACUUUCACUUUCACUUUUCUGUUUCUUCGAGCUUCCUAGUUGUCACUAGAGUAAAGAACUCACUGCAAAUGCAGAUAGAUAUAAGAGAUGCAGGUUCGACGCCUGGAUCAGGAAGAUCUCCUGGAGGAGAGCACAGCAACCCAUUCCAGUAUUCUUGCCUAGAGAACCCCAUGGAUGGAGGAGCCUUACUCUAGAUGAGGGGGGAAAAAAGUUGGAGAUUUCACUGAGGCAAAGCACUGUUAUUUCAAAGUCCACUGAAGCAGAGAUGUAGCUUGACCCCACACAGUGUGAUACCCAAGACAGCCUCGGAGAACAUCCUGUUCGAAGAUCGUGAGAUCCUUACUAUAGGCAUUCUGACAUUGAAGGAGAAAAUGCUGGAAUGAGACACAUAUAUGCAAAUGGACUGUGCAUGAGCGUGGGCAGAGGCCUACUCCACACCUUGGUGUCAACUACAGAGAAGGGCCCCUUCUCUGAUCAGAAGCAGAUCCCACACCAGAGCACAUGAUUUGGAUUUCCCAAACUGGCGAAUGUUUGAGAGUCACACUUGGUGAAGAGGGCUGGGUGUAAGUGCACCUUUCUACACUGAUGCUGAAGAUUGCAAAGUCUCCCAACUAUUCCCAGGGCUGGACCUCUUCAAUCCCACAGACCUGGGCCUGAAGAUCACCUGCAGGAAGCAACAAGGAGUAAGAUAGCAGGACAAAGAGUGAUUUGAGUUUCUGCUAAUAAAGCUGCUGCUGCUGCUGCUGCUGCUAAGUCGCUUCAAUCGUGUCCGACUCUGUGCGACCCCAUAGCCCACCAGGCUCACCCAUCCCUGGGAUUCUCCAGGCAAGAACACUAGAGUGGGUUGCCCUUUCCUUC
ensembl:lncRNA